CCUACGGGUGGCAGCAGUGGGGAAUUUUGGACAAUGGGCGCAAGCCUGAUCCAGCUAUUCCGCGUGUGGGAUGACGGCCCUCGGGUUGUUAACCACUUUAGUAGAGAACGUAAAGUAGCUAUCGAAUAAAUAGCUCUGCUGACGUUACUCUAAGAAUAAGCAUCAGCUAACUACGUGCACGCAGCCGCGGUAAUACGUAGGGUGCGAGCGUUAAUUGGAAUUAUUGGGCGUAAAGGGUGUGCAGGCGGCUGGGUAAGACAGAUGUGAAAUCCCCGGGCUUAACCUGGGAACCGCAUAUGUGACUGGUUGGCUAGAGUGCGUCAGAGGGAGGUGGAA
rnacentral:rRNA from 1 species